rnacentral:lncRNA from 1 species
UAACAACUUGUUUACCAUCUCGCACAGUAGGGGGAACAAACGAGAGAUGUUUGGCCGUCUGAGUAUUGCGAUUUCCUCGCACCACAUCCGCAGCAGUCGGACUGGAUUUCUCCCCAACUAUGAGAUUAGUGAAUUGUAAACGCCUUGCAGCAAUUUCUGAAGCUACUUCAGUCUUCUUCACUGGUGAUUUACAAGUAUCUACCUCUGCAUGCAUCGCUAUUGGAGAAUGAAGCUUCUGAGGCAGAAAGUUACCAAAAGUUAAUGGUUCAAGUUCCUGGAUUGUGCCAUUCUCAGGUGUGACGAGUUGAGUAGUAGUAGGUGGAGGGUUACGCCGGCGACGAGCAAUAUUCCGACGACGAUUGCGAUCUUGCUAUCGUGCGCCAGUAAGAGCUACUG